rnacentral:rRNA from 1 species
GUGGGGAAUUUUGGACAAUGGGCGAAAGCCUGAUCCAGCAAUGCCGCGUGUGUGAAGAAGGCCUUCGGGUUGUAAAGCACUUUUGGCGAGAACGAAACAGUGCCUGCUAAUACCGGGCGCGAAUGACGGUACUCGCAGAAUAAGCACCGGCUAACUACGUGCCAGCAGCCGCGGUAAGACGUAGGGUGCAAGCGUUAAUCGGAAUUACUGGGCGUAAAGCGUGCGCAGGCGGUUUUGUAAGACAGAUGUGAAAUCCCCGGGCUCAACCUGGGAACUGCAUUUGUGACUGCAAGGCUAGAGUGCGUCAGAGGGAGGUGGAAUUCCGCGUGUAGCAGUGAAAUGCGUAGAGAUGCGGAGGAACACCGAUGGCGAAGGCAGCCUCCUGGGAUGACACUGACGCUCAUGCACGAAAGCGUGGGGAGCAAACAGGAUUAGAAACCCUUGUAGUCC